rnacentral:rRNA from 1 species
AGAGUUUGAUCAUGGCUCAGAUUGAACGUUGGCGGCAUGCUUUACACAUGCAAGUCGAACGGCAGCGCGGGGCAACCUGGCGGCGAGUGGCGAACGGGUGAGUAAUAUAUCGGAACGUACCCAAGAGUGGGGGAUAACGUAGCGAAAGUUACGCUAAUACCGCAUACGAUCCAAGGAUGAAAGUGGGGGAUCUUCGGACCUCAUGCUCCUGGAGCGGCCGAUAUCUGAUUAGCUAGUUGGUGAGGUAAAGGCUCACCAAGGCGACGAUCAGUAGCUGGUCUGAGAGGACGACCAGCCACACUGGAACUGAGACACGGUCCAGACUCCUACGGGAGGCAGCAGUGGGGAAUUUUGGACAAUGGGCGCAAGCCUGAUCCAGCAAUGGCCGCGUGAGUGAAGAAGGCCUUCGGGUUGUAAAGCUCUUUUGUCAGGGAAGAAACGGUGGAGGCUAAUAUCCUCUACUAAUGACGGUACCUGAAGAAUAAGCACCGGCUAACUACGUGCCAGCAGCCGCGGUAAUACGUAGGGUGCAAGCGUUAAUCGGAAUUACUGGGCGUAAAGCGUGCGCAGGCGGUUUUGUAAGUCUGACGUGAAAUCCCCGGGCUCAACCUGGGAAUUGCGUUGGAGACUGCAAGGCUAGAAUCUGGCAGAGGGGGGUAGAAUUCCACGUGUAGCAGUGAAAUGCGUAGAGAUGUGGAGGAACACCGAUGGCGAAGGCAGCCCC